rnacentral:lncRNA from 1 species
UGUGAUUAGAGUCUAAUUGAUAUUGUGUAAUCAGUACAAUUUCCCUUGAUUGAUGCUGUAUAUUAGGGAAUCGUCUUUUGUCUUUUCCACACACUUAUUGCCUAAAUUAGUUGGACCUUAUGUAUUAUAAAUAGGGCGGUACACAUACGCUCAGUAUAAGAAAAACCAGCAUAUACACAUUCUUAUAUUUGUCUUCUUCUAGCUUUUCUUCAUUCCCUUUUCCUUUCAUGGUAUCAGAGCAAUCCUGAUCCUGGCAUAGCUUCCACGUUGUUUUUGAAUUGCCUCCGUCUUAUCUCUAUCUUGUCAUUGCGACACCUAUUCUACAAAACAAAACAACACCCGGUAGGAAUUCAUUCUUGAUACCAUGACAAACAAGGAAGAGAACAAUUCACCCCAGAAUCUUAGUUCGGAUCAAAUUGAUCCAACUGAGGAAGAGACUCCUUCUCAAUUGGGACUAUCCCAACUCCAGCUAAGGUUUCGGGGCCAGCCCAAUGGUCCGCAGUUCAGUGGAUUCCACUUCAAGGCCCAUCCGGAGAUGGAGGAUCGGGCUGGAUGGGUUGGACGGGUCCAGGUCCCAGACCCAAAUCCACUCAAACGGGUCAUGGGACGGAACCCUUCCCGGUUUUCCCACCGUUUUUUAAUGUGGAAUGUUGCCGUAUGUGAUUCCGGCCAACGGCGAUCGACUGGAACUCGGCGACCCCCUCUACACUUCGUCGGUCGACGAGUCGAAACUCCGACUCAUGACUCUACAACUCUCGGGACCAGAGAAUUACUCCGUUUGGUCCUGAGGACUCCGCCAAGCCCUUGUCACUAAAGACAAAGAUGGGUUUAUCGACGGCAACAUCCCGGUACCGUCCAAUGGGCGGCUUGCAUGACAUUGGAGGAAGUGCAGCCAGCUCGUGCGAACAUGGAUAGAGAACUACCUUACUCCGGAGGUUGUCGCAGAACUUCCUCCGACCGAAGACGCAAGACAAAUUUGGGAGAGCAUUCGAGAGAUGUACGGCAAGCUCGAUAGGGCAAAAAUUUUCGGCCUAACUCAAGCCCUAUCGGGGCCAAAAAAGGGCAAUCUCUCUGUUACCGCUGUCUUUAACAAAUUGUCGGCCCUUUGGAACGAGCUAGAAAUGGCGGAAGAAAGACUCGAAGGCCCCGAGGCCACCCUAGCUCAGUCCCGAGCGAUUAAGGAGCGAGAAAAAGUAACAAGAUUCCUACUGAUCUUAAACGAGACGUACCUUCCCUUCCGAAGUCAGAUCCUUGCCAUGGAUCCCGUUCCCUCGAUUGGAUGAAUCUAUCAACUCGCGGUGCAAGAAGAAUCGCAGCCCCUUGCUUCCACAGAGUUUGUGAAGGCCAGCGACCGUGUUGUGCUUGCGGCGAGGGCGGUGACGGCGGCGACGGAGCGGCGACGCCAUGGCCGGAGUAGCCAUGGGGGAUUUUCUCGCUCGGGCACAUUAGGGUUUGCAGUUGAGGAAGAUGACUUCUCUUCCUUCAAAAUGGACGGGGUCUGAUUUAAU